CCUUCUCCCCUCCACCUCCCCCCGCUCCCGGCCCUGCUUUAAAACCCGUGAUCUUGCGGACACCUUUCCGUUCUCCGUUGGCCAAGCACUUACUGUCAGCUGUGUGUCUGGCCCUGUGGGUACACAGUGCUAACGGUCAGGCCCUCCCAGUUGGAAGGAACAGGUGAGAAGGUGACACAAGAUUUCAUGGCAUGGGAAGCCAGGAGCUGCCACAGAGCUCCCCUUCCUGCCAGAGCCCCAGAAAGCGGAGGCUGCGCUGGCCCUGUCCCCCAGCCCUGAAGGCCACUACGGCCAAGGACAUCCAUCUGGCUCAGUGUGGUAUCCGUGUGUCCAGCACAGCGCCUGACCUUGAGUGCUCGAUGUGUUUUAUUUUGAAUGUGGCGGGAACAGUGGGUCCUGAGCUCCCACUUCUGAUUUGGAAAGGACAGCCGCUGCAGUGAUCUCAGACGAACAUAGACAAGACGGAUGCCUGGUCCGCCAGGUUCGCCGCAGCAUGUCUCAUAAGAGUCAAGAUGCGGAAACAGUCCAGACGAACCAUGAGAGACGAUGGACUCUGAAAAACAAACAGGGUUCUGGA